UCUUUCUUUCUUUCUUUCUUUCAGCCCAGUGUCACUCUUGGUACGUGAUGUUCAACUGCUCAAGCUUCACGAGUCGAGCGCCACACCCUCUCCAGGAGCGCCAUCCACCCGGGAGUCCAGCUGAG